rnacentral:sRNA from 1 species
UUUUUUUUUUGCUUCCCUCAAGGAGAGACUAUGUUUCUAAGUAUAUUGAUUACAUUUUCAACGUCUCUGUAAAAGCAGUUUAUGAGGAAUUUCAGAGAGGAUUUUAUACAGUCUGUGAGAAGGAGAUACUUAGACAUUUCUACCCUGAAGAACUAAUGACAGCAAUCAUUGGAAAUACUGAUUAUGACUGGAAACAGUUUGAACAGAAUUCAAAGUAUGAGCAAGGAUACCAAAAAUCACAUCCUACUAUACAGUUGUUUUGGAAGGCUUUCCACAAACUAACCUUGGAUGAAAAGAAAAAAUUCCUCUGUAAGUACUGUGGUACUAGAUGGACACAUAAUUAUGUAUCUUUUAAAAAGGUACAGUCUUGUUUAGAAUGAAGCCAUUGAAGUGGCCUCAUUGUCUGGGGUGACACCCAAGGUUCUUUGUCUCACAGCCAUGGAGAUCAAGGACAUGGACACACACAAAGGGUGAGGUAUAGAGCAGAAACUUAAUAGGCGAAAAGAGAAUAGCUCUCUGCUACAGAGAGGGGUCCCAGAAAAAUGAGUUGCUGAUUUGUGGUGAAAUGCAGGGUUUUUUAUAGAUGAGCUAGUGAGGAGGUGGUGUCUGAUCUACAUAGGGCAUGAAAAACGAGUUAGGACCCAGGUGUACCAUCUGCAUAGGGCACGAAUCUCUGGCAGCCCCUACCCCAAUCUUUGAU